UUGUCGUACGAGGUUUUAUCAGAGUGGUGUCAGAUAGAGUUAAGUUAAUCGUUAUCAUCACCUUACAUCGCAAUCGUCUGUCGUUUCAUUAUCUAGAACAUUUGUGGUUUUGUCGAAAAAUGUACUGUAUUCGCAAUAGUUGUCAAUUAAUUUUGUGUCAAACCUGAGACAGAAGAGAGUGAAAGUGAAUUGAAUUCUUAAGUAUUCUCAUUGAGCUUCUUGGACUGCUGGUGGGGCGCGCAAAAUUUUCUUCGUAACUAACACGUCCCUCAACAAAGCGAACCAUUCUGAGAAAAGUCUGUUUCGAUAACUUAGAUAUCUAUCAAACCUGAUGAGUCGUGUUUCUAAAAAUGGAUUCCUUAUAUGUUAAACCUUCUCGAAAAAGUCAAUAAAAUCGUGUUCAUCAAGGUUUUUAAUGGAAAAUAAUUAUGGUA